ACAUUGCAAUGGGCCUUGGGGUAUUAACAUUGAGGAGAAGUGAGAUCAAGAAAAAGGAGGUUUGGGCCGUGAUGUUGUUGAACAAUAAACCCAAUUCAAAAUGAACACCCGGUCCACCAUACACAUCAAAGAUCCGGAUCUCCAACCCUUCUUCAGAACCCGUGGAUAAGAACAUAUGCUGAACGAUUUUGUCCCUAGCAACCGCGGCACCGUGACGCAUCAACCACUCACCUCUCGUAUUCGACGCGGCCCAUUGGGAAUCAACAAAGAAAAGCAGGAUGUGCGAACACGAAAUGAUGGAAAUCAAGGUGUAGCUUCUAUUUGAAGAUAAUGGUGAAAGUUUGGAUCAUUGUCCAUGGAGUUAGAUGUAUUUGGACUUGUCAUAUUUUCUUUGUUAUAAAUUAGUAGUUUGGAGUUGAAAAUGACAUGUUAUAAUGGUUGGAAACUUGUAGCUUGAAAUGUAUGGUUGUAGUUAUGUAACUUGAAAAAUUGAAUGUACGGUAUUCAAGGUUGUAAUGAAAUAAUAGGAGAAAAUUGUAUGGAAAUGUACAUGAUUAGUUCAUGAAAUUGUAAUGAAUAAAUGGUUAGAUGAAAUAUUUUGAAUUGAA